AGUCCUGUAACCGCUUCUUAUUAGCAUUGGCUUAAUGCGAGGAUAAGAGUUGUCAGGGUACAGGAAGCCAGAGAUCUCCACUCUCAGUUCACUCAACAAGUAUUUGUGGAGCACCUACCAUGGACCAGGCAUGCACCAGAUACAAAGGUAUACAAGCCAGUUUUCUUACAAAAGCUAGGUUCAGGUUCAUCCUGUACCUUCUCAGUACAGUUUGAAGUUCAAGGCAGCUGUGCUGCAUCCCUGCUGGUGACUAACCUGUGCAGUAUGAAGUGACUUAGAGAGUGGGUAACUCUGUAGUGUGGAGAGAUUGCUCUGCAUCAGACGUUCUGUGGGGUGACUGAGAGCAAUUCAUUUCAGCUGACUGUUCCGUUGGUUCACUUGAGGUGUCCUAUGAGAUAGUAAAGCUAGCUGUGUUGUUUUUUUUUAUUUUCCUUUGCAAUAGAAAAUCUUGUUGGAACUCAUGAUGCCCCUAUCAGAUGUGUCGAAUACUGUCCAGAAGUGAACGUGAUGGUUACUGGAAGUUGGGAUCAGACAGUUAAACUGUGGGAUCCCAGAACUCCUUGUAAUGCUGGGACGUUCUCUCAGCCGGAAAAGGUCUACACCCUGUCGGUGUCUGGGGACAGGCUGAUUGUGGGCACAGCAGGCCGCCGAGUACUGGUGUGGGACCUGAGGAACAUGGGCUACGUGCAGCAGCGCAGGGAGUCCAGCCUGAAGUACCAGACUCGCUGUAUCCGAGCCUUCCC
rnacentral:lncRNA from 1 species